rnacentral:rRNA from 1 species
UACGGGGGGGGCAAGCGUUGUUCGGAAUUACUGGGCGUAAAGGGCUCGUAGGUGGCCAACUAAGUCAGACGUGAAAUCCCUCGGCUUAACCGGGGAACUGCGUCUGAUACUGGAUGGCUUGAGAUUGGGAGAGGGAUGCGGAAUUCCAGGUGUAGCGGUGAAAUGCGUAGAGAUGUGGAGGAAUACCGAUGGCGAAGGCAGCCCCCUGGGCCAACACUGACGCUCAUGCACGAAAGCGUGGGGAGCAAACAGG